rnacentral:rRNA from 1 species
GGCCGAUCGCCUUAAGUUGAUCAUGGCUCAGAAUGAACGCUGGCGGCGUGCUUUACACAUGCAAGUCGAGCGAGGCGGAGUAGCAAUACUCCAGUCGAGCGGCGAACGGGUGAAUAACACGUGGAUGACCUGCCCUUUAGUGGGGAAUAACCCGGGGAAACUCGGGCUAAUACCGCAUAAGACCGAGAGGUGAAAAGGGGCCGCAAGGCUCUUGCUGAAGGAGGGGUCCGCGUCCGAUUAGCUAGUUGGUAAAGUAAUAGCCUACCAAGGCGACGAUCGGUAGCCGGCCUGAGAGGGUGAUCAACCACACUGGAACUGAGACACAGUCCAGACUCCUACAGGAAGCAGCAGUGGGGAAUUUUGCGCAAUGGGCGAAAGCCUGACGCAGCAACACCGCGUAGAGGAUGAAGGUCUUUGGAUUGUAAACUCCUGUCAACGAGGAAAAAGGGACCUGACCUCAUACGUCAGGGACUUGAUUGUACCCGCAAAGGAAGCCCCAGCUAACUCUGUGCCAGCAGCCGCGGUAAUACAAAGGGGACAAGCGUUAUUCGGAAUUAUUGGACAUAAAAAACGCGUAGGCGACUUUGCAAGUGACGGGUGAAAUCCCUCAGCUUAACCGAGGAACUACCUGUCAGACUGCAUGGCUUGAGACCAGGAGAGGUGAGUGGAAUUCCCAGCGUAGCGGUGAAAUACGUAGAUAUUGGGAGGAACACCAGUGGCGAAGGCGGCUCACUGGACUGGUACUGACGCUGAAGCGCGAAA